GACGAACGCUGGCGGCGUGCUUAACACAUGCAAGUCGAACGGAAAGGCCCUGCUUGCAGGGUACUCGAGUGGCGAACGGGUGAGUAACACGUGGGUGAUCUGCCCUGCACUUCGGGAUAAGCCUGGGAAACUGGGUCUAAUACCGGAUAGGAGCCAUUUUUAGUGUGAUGGUUGGAAAGUUUUUUCGGUGUAGGAUGAGCUCGCGGCCUAUCAGCUUGUUGGUGGGGUAAUGGCCUACCAAGGCGGCGACGGGUAGCCGGCCUGAGAGGGUGGACGGCCACAUUGGGACUGAGAUACGGCCCAGACUCCUACGGGAGGCAGCAGUGGGGAAUAUUGCACAAGGGGCGCAAGCCUGAUGCAGCGACGCCGCGUGGGGGAUGACGGCCUUCGGGUUGUAAACUCCUUUCGCUAGGGACGAAGCUUUUUGUGACGGUACCGAGAUAAGAAGCACCGGCUAACUACGU
rnacentral:rRNA from 1 species